AACAGUCCAGAGUCCUAAUUCUCUCUGUUUACCGCCAGAGACCUCUCUGAGCUCUUCUUCUGCAUCUGGAAAAUCAAGUUUAACCCCAGCAUCUGCCAGAGGCUGUGCCAGUCAGUGGAGAGGAAGAAAAGACGUCGUCUCUGCCUUACAGCAGACGUACAGGAAUAACCACAUCCAGUGGGAGCAAGGCCAAAGCAGAAGCCUGCAGAGCGGACUGUGAGGACGAGCUGGAGGGGGAUGCAGACAAGCUUUUGGAGAGGCGGUCACCUAGAGCUGAGCCUUGGAAGGGGGAUGAGAGAAGCAGCAGAUUCCAGGCAAAAGCAACAACCAAUACUAGCAACAGGAAAAAACAGCUCAGUAUGGAAAAUAAUUGACAUGGCUAGACUUUGCGAUUCAUUCCAUGUGAUGGCUACUCAAUAAACUGCUGGUUAAUUGAUUACCUAGCUAAUCAAUCUGGAGGAAACAGGCUAUAAAAACAGACAAAAGUCAGUUCACGAAGGGGUUCAUAGGCCUACUCAAAGAAUUUAGAUUUUAUUCUCUAAACUAGGAGUUGAAAAUGCAAAUAUCUAUAGGGAUCUUAUAAGAAAUGUGAAUAAGUAAGGUGGGCCAGGUGUAAAAGAAAUAGUAAUUAUGAGGGUUAUACACGAAGUACCUCCUCCAGGUACCAUGUAUGGUACUGUCAACACAUAGAUGUCUAAUAUAUGAUCCUGGCCCUUAGACUGCACACAUAAGUAAGUACUCACAAUAUAACGUGAUGAUUGCCCCCAUUCAUGUACCAAAUACAGUGGGACCAUAGAGGAGGGCCUUACUUAAUUCAAUCUCAGGAAAUCAGGAAGGUGUUACUGAUGAAAUUAUAUUUGAGAUGGACUUGAGGGAUGAGAAGGAGCUCAUCUCUCUUUUCCAGCUACCCCUGAACUUCCUUCAAUCCAAUCAGGUUGGUUUCCCCACUGUCCCACAACACCCCACUCUCGGCUAUGUCCUCUCAAGUCUUUGACUUUGCCUAGUGUGCCCUGCCGCUCUCCCUUAAUUAUGCAAUUCCUACUAACUCUUAAAGGCACAAUGCAGGCCUUCCUCAUGCACAAAAUCCAUGAAGACUUCCCAGGUAUCAAAUCUUCAUUGGUCUAAGAGGCAAGACGCUAUUGGGAGGCUGGAAGACCUUUAGGACACAACAGAGUGCAGAGGCGCUCAGAGAAGGGUGUCUCAUUGUGUGUGGUGAGAAGCUUACUAGUUUGGGAGUCAAGGACUCACUGGCUCUCUGAUUACAGGCAGAUGUUUUAGCCUCUGUUUUCCUCAGUGUCUUAACUCUAAAGUGGAGGCUGAUCCUCAUGAUCAUUUUGGUCCCCUUCAGUUCUAAGAUUAUAACUGUGAUUUUGUGAAGGAAUUUGUUCUCAUUGUUAUACUUCCAGUAGGAUUUCCACACACACUUUCAAAAUUGUCCUUAUGUAACAUGACGAGUGGAAAACCACUAAUCAGUGGCAGCAGUAUUGAAGAGAGUCUUCUCUGUGCCGUUCCAAAUGCCAUCUACUUCCUCCCUGGAUUUAGGAAUUGCAUAGUCACACGUUCACUGAAAUAAAGUUGGCUGUCCUGUUGCCCUGUUACUACUUUGGUCACCUCCUGUUAUCCUAAGAAUAGAUCACUUAUGGUUCUUUCUUUGGACUCUUACAAUUUCACGGCGGUGAGAAAAUAGAGCACAGGUGGAAUACAAAUCCUGGAAUAUCAAGAUUACAGAAAAACUACCUAUGGAAAACAAGAUACAUGAGUUAAGGAAUCUAUGAAACUAUACCAAAAUAAUAAUUAGAAUGAGUUGUUUUUUAUUUUAUCUUAGUUAUUAUAAAUUAUUGAGAAAAAUCAUUUGCAUUUUAUCAGCUUUUAUUAUACAAAUUCAGUCUGCCUCAUGCCAACUCGCUGUAUUAGUUGUACUUUUGGUUAUAAGCAAAAGAACCAACUCUGGCCAGAUUUAAGAAAACGGCAAGUCUAUUGAAAGAACACUAGGGUAUCGCAUGAACCACAAGGAAAAG
rnacentral:lncRNA from 1 species